UACGGAGGGGACUAGCGUUGUUCGGAAUUACUGGGUGUAAAGGGUUCGUAGGCGGUGCGGCAAGUUGGGAGUGAAAUCUCUGGGCUCAACCCAGAGGCUGCUUCCAAAGCUGCCAUGCUUGAGUGUGGGAGAGGCGCGUGGAAUUGCAGGUGUAGCGGUGAAAUGCGUAGAUAUCUGCAGGAACACCCGUGGCGAAAGCGGCGCGCUGGACCACAACUGACGCUGAGGAACGAAAGCUAGGGGAGCAAACAGG
rnacentral:rRNA from 1 species